rfam:Streptomyces oceani strain SCSIO 02100 scaffold78, whole genome shotgun sequence.
UCGGCCCCGGUUCACGUGACGCAGUCCGCGUCGCGACCCGGCGCC